UUGAUAAACUCGGAUCGUAUGUCACAGUCUGUGAAACGAUAUCCGCACAUAGUGGAAUAUACGUAAGGUCUAUAAAUAGGAGGAACGUGGGAUUCGGAUCUGAAGAUUUGGAGAGACGUGUCGAGCGCCCUCUCGUCGCGUUCGCGUGCUGCGCGACAGGAGAUGGUGAAUAUAUAUGAAAUGUUCGAAUUAAUUUGGUGCAGUUUCGAUUCAUACGUUUUAUUUAUGGGUGAUAUAUUCGAUCGGUCGGAUAUCAAGAAGAAUUUUAUAACGUAAUAUACACAAUGAAUGAUUUCGACAGAUAUAUCGUAUCGUCAAUAUAACCUAACUUUUUCUUUUUCUAAAUUGUUUGCAUUUUCAAAGACUUUAAUAAUUCUUUCAAUAAGCUGAAUUUUAAUAUAAUAAUAUCGAUUAUUAUUUUUGUGUAUAAUUAUCAUGUUACAUCCAUCUAAUUUUUUACUAUGUUAUAACGUUACGAGUAUUUUACAUUACUUACGGAACGAAUUUAAAGCAAUCGAAUUUCUUGCAUACCAACCUCAUCUUAACCUCUGGAAUCGAUGCUUCAAAGGAUGUCUAGUCUGAUAUAUUAACAUCCAAAGGCUUCACGCCUAAGAGGGCCUGUCGUCGAUCUAUAAGGACGGUAUUUGACCACGAUGCCACGUAAGCCACGACCGCGACCCCUGUCCUCGAGGAUUUGCCGCGAAAACCCUUCUCGGUUUCGGAGGUGAUCAGUCACUUCAGAUCCACGGGGCAAACAAACUUAAGCUUGACCGUGGGGGCCGAAGGUGACGAGGAUCGCAAACGAUGUGUCGAAGCUUUGACGAAUUCGAUCCGGAAACAGGAUAUCGUUUCGGAAAGGCUAAUUUGAUUCAACUGAUAGAUAAGUUUAAGAAAAGGAGGGAGGGGGGGAGGGAAUAGAACGCAAAAGAAUGGAGACUGCUAUUUUAUGGGAGAAUGGUCUCGCUAACGAGGCCGUUAUCUUAAAAUUGCAAUUGCUGUUGUUCCCUGUCAAGUAAAAUUCGUGUAAACAUCGUGUAUGAAGCAGCUUGGAAUUCGAUACCAAUUUGUUUAAUAAUGCGAUAUUAUAUAAUAUUCGUUCGAGGAGGAAAGAGAAAACACGAUCAUUCUACUCCGUAUUCAGAAAGCGACUUCGUUAAAUCGAAUGUUGUCAUUUCUUUGGCCACGAUAUUCCACAUUGUAGCUGUUCUUAACAAUAUCAUCGGCUUUUGAAAUUUUCUACGGCAAGAGAAAAAUUUUACUUCGACAAAGAAUAAACAAAUCUCAAUAUUUCAUUUUAAACGAUUAUCCGAUUAUCGAGUAUAAAGUGGCACGUUAAAAGGCGUGGCUCUUGUUCAAUUAAUGUUCAAGGGUGCUCAUUAUCGGCGCUCAAUGCCUCUAUAAUUAUCGGAACAUCGCUACAGAAACCUUUCGCGAUGCCUUUCCGGUUAUUCAAUCGCGUGCGCGCCAGUCACACGCCGCUUCAAAGCGUCGUGUAUUUAUAGGUUCGUUAGCAAGAGGGGAAACGAAAAGAAACGGGCGAAAAGCUGCGAGCUCCCUCCUCCCUCGAAAAGCAACUCUUCGUCCUUUUUCCAUUUCCGUGAACCGAGUCUGUGAUUUCGAUGUAGAAUGUCGUCGAUCAAACGAGACCGCGCUUACCGACCACUUCCGCUCGACGAAUUCCAGUAUCCCGUUUUGGACACGUGCUAUAGUGAUAGAUAAGUUUCAGGGAUCACAGGUAAUCAUGAAAUUGGAAAAUUGUUCGAGAUUUUAUUAAGUAGAACUGAACUUGUACAUUGAUUUUGUUUGGUGAGUUGUUAGUGUGUGCAUUGGAUUAUUUUUAAGGUUAUUUCUAUAGGUUAGAAAUACGAUCGUAUUAAUGAAUGUAAGAAUUGGAAGAAUAUUUUAUGAUUUGGAAUAGAAGUGUAGUUGUAAAUUUGGAUGAUGUCGAGUUUAAUUUUAUUUUAUUUUAUUUAAUACUGUGAAAGUGGCGCAAGUAUUGUUUUAUGUCAUUUUAUUCUUGUUGAAUAAUGUUUGAAAUAAAUUGUUCGAAAUUAUUCAAUGUGAUCAAUGAAUAGGAGAAAUUGAAGAAUAUUUUAUGAUUGACAUUAAAAAAAAAAGAAACAAAAAAUCGUUCCUUUUUCUUGUCUACAUUUAUUUUAUUUGGACGAGUACAUUGCGUUAAUGUUCCUUCAAAUUAAUCUUUUUUGUUGAUCAAGGAUAUUUAGGAAUGCAAUAUUUAAAACGAAUAGCUCGAAAUAAUUAUAUUUCUUUUAGACAAUUUAAAUUUCUUCAGGUCAGGAUUCGUGUAAGAAGAACGAAGUUUUUACGGGCUGGUUUUGACUCGAGUACAAAUCAAGAUCAGGAGUCUUAAAUCUCCGAAGAAUGGGAACGAGAAUUUCUUUCGGACCGCCUCAAAGGUAGUCGAACGUACGUAAAAUGAUCCAAUAGGACGAGGACAGUUUUUGUUUUACUUGUAGUGUAGAGGCAAGCAUGGUACAAGGUGGCGCCACCUUGGCGGCAGUGGCCAACUUAACAACAGUGUAAAAAGCGACGAAAUCGAGAGUGUCGGUGGGUCUGGCGAAGAGACACGAUCAAAGAGGAAAGAGGGAACAGCCUAUAAAACAAUUGACGCUCCCGUGGAGUAUCAAGGAGUAUCCGUUAAACCUGUUUUCUACUUCUUCUCCUAACCCAUCGAAAUCCACUUUGAUCAAGUUGCCUUCAGAACUGAAUGGAAUAACCUUUUUUUGCUCGCGACAUAACCUUUCCUCUCUUUCUCUCUCGGAAAUUAAUAAAAUAAAGCGAGAUCAAGUGAUCAUUGUGAAUCGAGGGGAAAUGGAAAAUACGCUUAUUGGACGAAAUAACAGGGAUAAAGGUAACCGCAAUGGUGGAUGUAUGCGUGUCAUUACAAAGGAAUCGUCCCUCGAUCGAGACGAAUCUCAUAAACUCGGCUCGUUGCGAUCUCUCCGGUGAUUCAGAGUGGCGAAUACAAUCGCGUGGAGCAAUUUUUGCGGAAGAUUUGACGGUUCUCCUCCCUCUUCCGCGCUGGCGCGUCCUUAUUCUUCUAAAUUGUUCCCAUUCGAGAACGAGCUCGUCCCUGAAACGCUCGUUCGCGCUUAUAAAUCUCAGCCUCGAGCGGUGACGUUCAGGAGGAGCGAGAGGUGGACGAUUACAGUAAAUGUAUUGUUAUAUAUGCCUAAUGUAAGUGAAUAUGGAAAUAUAUGAUUAUAGUUAUAUGCGACUGAUAUUUUAAUCUCAAACGCUAGUUUUAAAACAUCUUAUGCUCUCGACGAUAAUUCAAAGUAUACACCUUUCUUCGACUCCGCCGGAGAAAGAAAGAUCCCGUAAUCCAUCGAUCGAUCGAUUUCUCUCCAAGUAAAAAGGAAAAGGACGAAGGUGAGAGAGCGCGCCACGAGCCCGGUUGUUCAGUUUUCAGAGCCGCGAUAUCAAAGCGGGCAUCUCGAACGGCGCCAAGGCCAUAGUUAACGAGGUCCUCGUCUGAGCCAUUCACCACCGGGGCACCCUUGUCGUCGUUGUCGAUUCGGUACGUACCUGUACGGUUACCUGGGGGCCCGUUCAUUGCAUCCUGACCCGGCCACAGACGACAUACGCUGCAAACCACCGGGUCCAGACGAAACCGCCCACUCGACGACCACCGUGCUACGCUCUCUUCCUUCCUUCUCGUUCGACCAGACGUGUAACACGGCUUCGAGGAAAGAAAGAAAGAAAGAAAGAAAAAGAGAGAAAUGAACAGGGUACGCGUCGUGUCGCGUCAAUGUUCACGAGCACCUCACGAGACUGUGCUAUCGUUCGUUUCGACCUUUCCUCGACCACCAAUUUAAAAAAAAAAAAUAAUCCUUGAUCGUUACACGAUCUUCUCUCAAGAAUUGGUUUCGAUGAUCUUAUUUAUCUUGAAGGAAUUGAUGUAAUAAUUUUCAUUCUCGAUUCGAGUUAACCUAACUUGUGAUUCAAACUAUGAAUUUUUAUUUAUUUUAGGUUAAGAUUUAGGUUAAGUUACAUAGAAGUGCUAACCUAAUUUAAGCUAAUCUGAUUUGAACGAAAUGUAUCUGAGAAUAUUUAAGAAACUAAAGUCAACAGUAAUGAUAUUCAAUUUCUCUCAAGUUCAAAAAAAAAAAAAAAGAAAAAAGGAAAAGAUAAUUUCAGAUUUUCGAUCGAUGGAAUAUUCGCAUUGUUCGAUCGUUUUGAAUCGAUAAAUGGCACGGUACACGGGUCCCAUUUGUUCUAUAUUUGUUCAAUGAGUUUGGAAAUCUCCAUUCAGCUCGGUUCGAGCUCGAGAACGGUUGAAUGAUCGAUGUCGUGGGUGGUCAACAGGAGGACAGUCGUGUGAAUGAGCCCAGUGUUCGAUGACUCGUUUAUGUAGGCUGUUAUCAGCUUACACGCGAAUAACCGAAUGACCCGACCGAUGCAAAAACCAUUUUAUUGUUUUCGACCGUUUAUGAAUUCGACCAGAACAGGACAAAACGAUCGAUCCGCUCGAUAAGGAAACGAUCGAAGGCGAAAAUUAACUUUUCGAUAGCUCGAAGUAUGGAAAGAAAAUUAGGUUAUUGGAUAUUGAUUUUUCCGAGGAUAAAAUAGAUAAUUAUAUCGUAUUGAAAUUGGAAAUAUAUCUAAUUUAUUAUAAUUAAUAAUAGAAACGAAAUUUGAAUCUAUUAAUAUGAAUACUUAUUAUUUAUGUAGAUACAUUGGUAUAUCAUAAUUGAAUGUAUUUUCAUUAUUAGUUUUUGAAUAAGUUAUCUAUUCUUUUACAUAUAUAUAUAUGUUCAUAGAAUGGUAUUGUAUAACGUUUCUUAAUUUAUUCCGCGUAAAUAUGCGAAUAAAUAAAAAUAAAAAUAAAAGUACAUAAAUAUACAUAAAUAUAGAUAUUCGGUUGUUACAUAUUCAUAUAGCACGAGAUAUCUGUUUAGUUGAAUUUGUGAAAAGAAAUAUUACACAUUUAAUACACGGUGUUAAUUUCAUUUUUCAUCGAUCGUUAGAAAGGUUAAACGGAUAGUGACAAUAUUUGUCAACAUUGAUUAAUGAAAUUGCGAAUCUUUAUGCGAGCAAAGCAAAUUCAAUUAAAAUUGAAUGCGAAUGAACUGCGUGUAGAAUUUAUAAUAAUAAUUGUAUUAUUAUAUUACUUAUUUAUCAUAUCAAAGUUUGAUAUUACAAUAUUAUUUUUUCACGGAUAUCUGAUAAAUUAAUUUCGUUUGAAAAAAAAAAUGAAUUGAAACAAAUCGUUUCAUAUCGUAAGAUAUAAUGGAAUAUAUUUGACCAUUUCCUAUCUCUCCUAUAUAGAUAAAGCGUUUAAACUUAAUUGCCAUUCACAUUGGUGUUGUCAUAUGUAUUUGCAUAAAAAUCUGCAAUUUAGUUUAGAUAAACGUGCUAAUCAUCACUAAAAAUUAACGUCUAAUCUAACAAAUAUUAUUGAGAAUAAAUAAUGAUAUUAUUAUUGAAAUGAUAUUAAAAUAUGUAAUUAAGAAUAAUAUUGCCAAAUAAUAAAUACAAUUAUUGAUCC